ensembl:lncRNA
GGGGGAGGGUGUAUAUGACAAACUCAGAGAUGAAGGUUAACAGGGAGCAGCUGCUUACCAAUUACGGCGUGAAAAACUCCCAAAGAGAUGUCAGGUGGCAAAGCUAGUUCUGCUGCUGCUUCAUUCGUGCUCAUGCUCAUUCGAAACCAACUCUUUGUGACUCCAUGGACUGUAGCCCACCAGGCUCCUCUGUCCAUGGGAUUUUCCAGGCAAGAAUACUGGAAUGGGUUGCCAUUUCCUCAUCCAGGGAAAUCUUCCAGACCCAGAGAUCGAACCUGCGUCUCCUGCAUUUACUCCUGGGAGGCCAGCACUUUUCCCAGUAAAGGUCGUGCAGGCUACACGAAAGUUCUGGGGUCAAAGUUCAAGGGUAUCCAACCCCCAUUAGGGGGGCCACUAAUGGACCACUCAGCAGAAGGUGAGCAGCAGGGAGCAAGCAAGGCUUCAUGUGUGACUCUCCAUCACCCACAUUACCACUGGAACCAUCUGCCCCACCCCACCCCCAGCCAUCAUCAUGGAAAAAUUGUCUUCCACAAAACCAGGCCCUGGUGCCAAAAAUAUUGGGGACCGCUAUUCUAGUUUACAGGCUUAACUACUCUCCAAGUAGCCCCAGU